UUCAUCUGGCCUAGCAUGUGGCAGAUAUUCAGUAGGGCAUGAUACAGGAAGGUUGAAAUUAGAGCAUAAAAUGGAUACUUUUUGAGUAUCUGCAAUGCCUGCAGACACCAGGUAUACAACAGUAAAUGAGACAGAUAUAUUUAUAGUAUCCACCCAAGUAGAACUAUUGUUUACUGGAAAGCAAGACAAAAUAAUGAUAGCUAACAAUGAUUGAGUGCUUGCUACACGCCAGGCACUGUUCUAAGGACUUCACAUGAAUUAACUGAUAUAAUCCUCACCAAUAUCCUAUGGAUAUUAGGUACCAUCAUUAACUCUCUUUCACAGAUGAGGAAACUGAGGCACAUGAGGGUUAAGUAACCCGGUCCACAGCUGUAUAGAAGCAGCUUAGCACGAGACAGGUUGGUAUGGAGAUUCCAUAAGUUUCUGAGUUCAGAUCCCAGGCUCCCUUACUUACUGGAGAGCCUGGGAUCUGAACUCAGAAACUUACUGAAGCUCCGUACCAACCUGUCUCAUACUAAACAGCAACUACAUGUAUAUAAACACAUGCUUCAAAAGGAGAAGGCCCAAGAACUAGGAGGGUGCACACCAGGGAGCCCUGGCCUAGCCUGAGGAGUCAGAGGCAGCUCUCGAAGGGGGCAAUGAGAAAGCGGUACCCAGAUAAAGAAGGGGAAAAGCUCUCCCUGUAGAACAAGUAUGGGCAUGAAGACCUGGACUUAACGUGGAAAAUGGGAUUAAGAAUAUUUACUUUUUAUAGUCGUGGUUUAAAUAAAGCCAUGCAUGUAUGGCCUGGCUCUUGGCAAGGACUCAAGGAAUGUCCUCUCCCUUCACCUGUCAGCGUUCAAAGUUAGAAACUGGCACAUCGUGCAGGAAGCUGACACACCCAGGUCCUCCAAACACCCAAGUCCUCUCUCUAAUCCUGUAUCUUUGAGGGUGUUUGGUUUUGUUCCAGUAUCUUAACCAGUAUUGAGUUAUCAGGUUCGGCCAUGGAACACUCACAAGACUUUCUUAAAAUCAUGUGUUUAAGAUCAUUCAAAGGGAUCAAAACUUCAAUUUGGAUGAAUGCAUCCAAGUGUCCUAUUAAUAAUCUUUCUCAUCAACAAAAACAAAAAAAAUAAAACUGGGAAAAAAAUUAUGAGGAGACAGCUAGUAAAAUGAAUGAGGAUUGCUGUUUUCCUUUUUUUUUUUUUUUUCCAGCAGUGCACACUGAAGGAAUAUCUAUGACCUCAAUUUCCAAUUUCCAUCAGAUUCCAGGAGAUACAUUUGAAGAAAAAAAGCCAAAUCUUUACAGGGAUAAUGUGUCCAUUAUAAUAGUCUCUCUACAUUUCUGUAUGUGAAAAAUUGCAUACUAAAAAUUUUAAAGCAAAUAAAGUUAUUCUGUUAUAAUGAGAAAAGGAGCUGUGGAACUUGACCUCUCGUUACCCUGUUCACCACCCAAAGGUCAUCCUCCAUAGACAGAUGAUAUAAAGACAGCAAGAACUUUUUAUAUGUAAAAAGCACACACAGGUGACUACUACAUGAAUAUUUUCUCAUUGCAAACACUUCAAACCACCAAGAAGUAUAAGGAGUAACCAUUGAAAGUUUCCCUCUGUGGGUUUCCCUCUUCCAGUCAAUCCCCCAAUUCUUCAACUCCUGCCCCCACUUCUCUCCCCACCAUUAAUUAACAAUUUAGUGGAUGGGAGAAGAAAAAUUGACUUAUGUCCUUGGGUCAAACUCAAUGCCAAAAUCACCCAGGAAAAAAAGGAUACAAGCAGAGCUGUGGUAUGGGGUAGGGAUAGGGGCAGAAUGAGGUGAAACAGGCUUUCUGAAUCGCUGGAAAGCUACACACAGUAUUCUAUUUUGGAAAGACACAUGGGUAUCCACUCUGCUUCCUCUGGCAGGAGAACGUGGCCUUCCUAAUACUGAGUUCAGUUUGUCAUCCAGGAGUUCAGUUUGUCAUCCAGGAGAGCCUGAAGUUUGCAAACUCUCUCCCUUGAAACCCAAACAUUCAGGUUGUUAAAGGUAAGUUCUCCCCACCCCAUAGUUGUGGAAUCAUAAAGCUCUCCCACAAGGCACCUUCUCAGUGCUGUCAUCUCAACAUGGCAGAGCCCAACCUGGGUGGAGAGUAUCACCUUCAGCUUUUGGCUCUGAUGAGGAUUCAAGGCCCCAGAACAAAAGACAUGACAAGAUGAGCAACAUGAGGUAAUGCUUGCCUCCCUUACAUUUUGUAUCCUUGGUUAAAUAAAAUGGGAACUUACGAUAAAUGCAUAGGUAUCACCUGUUUUUCUUAAUUCAGAAUCUAUUGGAAAAUCUGCAGUCUUUCUAUAGCCUUUUUUCUAUGCACUUACAUAUAUAUUUAAUAAUGAUAACAGUAACAAUAAAGGAACACCUGUACACUGUUUGUGGGGAUGUAAAUUAGUACAACUGUCAUGGAAAACUGUAUGGAGGUUUCUCUUAAAACUAAAAAUAGAAUUGUUAUAUGAUCCAGCAAUCCCACUUCUGAGUAUUUACCCAAAAGCUUUUUGUUUGUUUGUGUUUGAGAUGGAGUCUCUCUCUGCUACCCAGGCUGGAGUGCAAUGGCAUGAUCUCGGCUCACUACAACCUCCACCUCCUGGGUUCAAGCGAUUCUCCUGCCUCAGCCUCCCAAGUAGCUGAGAUUACAGGCAUGUGCCACCACGCCUGGCUAAUUUUUGAAUUUUUUGGUAGAGACGGGGUUUUGCCAUGUUGGCCAGUCUGGUCUUGAACUCCUGACCUCAAGUGAUCUGCCUACCUCAGCCUCCCAA
rnacentral:lncRNA from 1 species